rnacentral:lncRNA from 1 species
AGGUCCAGGAGGGGUGCACAGAGCCUGACAGCUGCCUCCACCGAAUACGUCUUCUUUAUCUUCAUGUAGAUCUUGGUCAGAGGCACCAGCUCUCCUCCAAGUGGAAGGGAUUAGGGGACAGGAGAAGCAAUUUGGUAUAAUAAAGACUUCAUUUAAGAUCAGUGUUGAGCUGCCUCCUUUAUUAGACUGCAAAGCCUGUCCCCAUGAAGAAGCCACUGGCUUUGCCAUACUUAGGCAAAGCCUUCCAGAGAGUUCUUGAAAAACCAGCUCUGAGCCUGACUAGGCCUCUAUCUUGGUUCAAGAGAAAUGACUUCCUGCCUGCAAUCACCAUAACCGAUAGCUCAUGAGACAGAGACAGUAAAUAAUUGUUCCACAAGUUUCAAGAGCAAGCGUAAUUAGUACAGUUAACAGUGUUAGGUGAUUAAUUGGUUCAUUCAGCACCAUUGUGAAUGAGGCAGAGCGUAAGCAGGGGAGGGGCCAGAGCCCCCAGACACCCAAAUGUGGAUAUGGCCCACUACUGAUCAG